AGAGUUUGAUCCUGGCUCAGGAUGAACGCUGGCGGCGUGCUUAACACAUGCAAGUCGAACGGGAAAUACUUUAUUGAAACUUCGGUGGAUUUAAUUUAUUUCUAGUGGCGGACGGGUGAGUAACGCGUGGGUAACCUGCCUUAUACUGGGGGAUAACAGCCAGAAAUGACUGCUAAUACCGCAUAAGCGCACAGAACCGCAUGGUUCCGUGUGAAAAACUCCGGUGGUAUAAGAUGGACCCGCGUUGGAUUAGCUAGUUGGCAGGGCAGCGGCCUACCAAGGCGACGAUCCAUAGCCGGCCUGAGAGGGUGAACGGUCACAUUGGGACUGAGACACGGCCCAG
rnacentral:rRNA from 1 species